GCCCAGAGAUCUUUUCAUCCCUGCCUCUCCUUCGCUUUGCUGCUGCCGACGACGUCAGGAACAUCUGCCGCGUCCGAUUCGAUCCCAACCGAGGGUCCCCCCGGCGGCUAUCCAUGGUAGAGGCGCCCAGCUCAUCCGAAGAUGCGCCCAAUCCAUCUGCUCCAGAACAGAGAGUAUGGGGAGAAUCUCAUGGGGCUGCUGCACCACACGGGGUCAAACAAGAUUGUAGUGCUCUGCCAUGGCUUGGGCUUCCAAGUGCUUGUUUUCAGAACAAUGGAAUCAUUGUUGAUCUUGCGGCUGCAGUAACAAAGCGUGGGAUUAGUGUGUUUCGCUUUGGUUUCAGUGGAAAUGGUUAAGUCAAUAAUGAACCCUUCAUUUCAGCAAUUGCUUUUAUUUUUUUUCUAAGGAAGCCUUGAAGUGGAAAUGUUGAACUAAAUUAGCUAAGCUUCCUAAUUGUAUGUAUUACCACAGUACGGCUUGAGUUUGUGAUUACAUUUCUCUUAGACGUGCAUGAUUUUCCAAAUAAAUAAACAUAGUAAAUUAGUAAAAACAAUUAUUAAUUUCUAUCUCAACAUUCUUUACUGCAUCAAUUUGUUUGAAGUCAUAUUGUCUACUACAUUAUAUUGCAGAAUCUUUAUUUCUCAGAGAAAUAAACAUAGUACAUUAGUAAAAACAAUUAUUAUAUUCUUUAUUGCAUCCAAUUGUUUGAAUUCAUAUUGUCUAGUACAUUAUAUUGCAGAAUCUUUCUUUAGUUUUGAAUGAUAGCAGUCCAUCACCUUAUUUUAUAUGAUGCCUUUGAUUGUAUGCUUUUCAGAGAGAGCGAUGGUAAAUUCCAGUAUGGUAUGUACAGGAAGGAGGCUGAUGACCUGCAUUCUGUUGUUUCAUAUCUUUACUGGGAGAAAUAUGACGUAGCAGCACUUGUUGGUCACAACAAAUAUGGGUUCAAUCAUAGGUUGGUUUAUUAUAAUCCUGGAAUUCAUUAUUUAUGUUAUUGAGUUGCAGAGUACUUCAACCGGUACAGUUAUCCUUGCUUUUUAUUCCAAAUUCAAUUGGCUAUGGUUGUGAGGUGUGUUUUAUGCCAUAUUAUUGAAUGACAAUGUAUGGUUUUUUUGGCUCGCUUUACUGGAUCCAUAAUUCCAAAUUGUUCAGUGUUACAGUUCAAUGCUUUACCUUCAUUUACAUAGCAUAAUGGUGUUCAGAUAGUGCAAUGCUGUAGCAAUUUUGAUAGACAUUUGUCGGCUUGCACACAUUAUUGACCAUUCAUAAUCUUGAGUGAUAUAGUAGUUUCAUAAUCUUGUACGCAUUACUUGCCAACAAUUUUGACAGAAAUAGCAUACUAUAAUUGUAGAACUGUGGAUCAAUUAAUAGAUUGAUCUUUCAUGUGACUUCUGCAUUCUCCUGUUGCUAAUCUUUUCAAGCACUACAUCAGAUUCACAUGGCAAUAGUGAACAUGCAUGGUAGACUAUAGCUAAUCCUAGAAAAAACUCAACCGACUGCUUUUCAUGCCUGAUUUUACUCCUAUUCCUAUGCUAAUUGGAAAUUGACGAAGGCAAGUAUCGGUAACCUGUUUUCCAUAUAUGAAAAAGCUUAGAAAUGUUACUUCUCUUUUUUCUUCUUCAAAGCUAUGGUAUAAGAAGUUGACAAUUGAUGAACACUAACCACUUCAUCUUAUAGACCGACGCAACCCAAUUGCCCUGCUUACGAGGUAUAGUGUCUAAAGCUUUAGUAGAUAAGAAAUCAUUUUAUCUUCCCGUUACAUUGUAAGAUAAUAAAUAAAUUAUUAAUAGAUGCAGCCAUGUGAGAAACCUUAAAAAUUGUAAAUCCUUCUCAUUAGUUGUAGCUAAUGUUGCAGUAGGUGAAACCAAAUUCCAUUUUUUUUCUCAGCAGUUGGGGUAUUUCUCCUUUCAGCAAAAAAAGAAUAAUUAUGAAGUGUAAAGGAAUCUAAGAUUGAAAAACAGAGGAUUUUCCUCCUUUUUAGUAUCAUACAUGACUAGAUUGUUUCUUAGUUCAAAACAUGCAUGGCAGUUUUGUUGGAUAUAUUACUGGAUGAUUUGACAUUUUCUGCUAAUUGAAGGCAGGGAUAUGCAAGCUGCAGCUGAUUGAUACAUGGCAUACCAGUGAAGAAAGAUUGAUUCCUUCAGUACGAUCAUUGUGUGUGUCUUUUGAUAUAUAAACUUGUUGUUGAUCCAUCAGUAAAUUUUUAGAUAGUCCUGAUUUGGUUCACCAGUAAAUGAGCUUUCUAUGUAUCAAGUUAUUUAUAGGAUGAAAUUGAGAUUUUUCCUGAAAAAACCCGCAAGUUGUUCUGUGCACAAAUGUUGAGGCAGUUCAAAUAGUUU